rnacentral:rRNA from 1 species
AACGAACGCUGGCGGCGCGCCUAACACAUGCAAGUCGAACGGUAACAGGGAGCUUGCUCCGCUGACGAGUGGCGAACGGGUGAGUAAUGCAUCGGAACAUGCCCAGUCAUGGGGGAUAACUACGCGAAAGCGUAGCUAAUACCGCAUACGCCCUGAGGGGGAAAGUGGGGGAUCUUAGGACCUCACGUGAUUGGAGUGGCCGAUGUCAGAUUAGCUAGUUGGUGAGGUAAAGGCUCACCAAGGCGACGAUCUGUAGCGGGGUCUGAGAGGAUGAUCCGCCACACUGGGACUGAGACACGGCCCAGACUCCUACGGGAGCAGCAGUGGGGAAUUUUGGACAAUGGGCGCAAGCCUGAUCCAGCCAUGCCGCGUGAGUGAAGAA